rnacentral:lncRNA from 1 species
AUGUCUAUGCAAUUUCAAGAUGAUACAAAUGGUAUAUCUCCUUCUGAGGCUGAAAUUAGGAAUGAAAGGCCCCAAAGGAUAAAGCACCCUUCAGCCAAGAUGCUAGCCCAUCUAAUAGAUGAAAAGGAGCUCCUCCAUGUGAGGUUAGGUUCGGCAUGGGAGCGCAUUGUAACAUUAAUGGGCAGAAUAGAGAGCUUGGGUAUUACAAGGGUGCCAUCCAUAUUACAGACAGACCUUGAAGAGACCUUCGGUCUUUGGAGGGGUUUGGUGUCUAAGAUAGUCCAGGUCCUCGAGCGCAUUAACGCCAAGGAUUCAGAGUUAGAAAUAGUGAGUGUUUUAGCUGACACUAAUGAGAAAGAAAAUAGGGUGAGGGCAAUCCUAGCUUCCUUAUGCAGCCAUGAGACCAAUCUUUUAAAAUCACCUGCUGUGGCACUUAGUCUUAAGUCCAACCGCUCUAGUCAGGUAUCUAAACUAAGGGAGCGUGCAUCGUCUAAACACAGCCACUCUAGCAAGUCUUCUGCUGCUGGGAGUGCCAUCUCUUCCCUAGCUGCCUUGCACAUUAAGGAGGCUGCACGUCUGGAGCUGCAGAGUAAAGUGGCGGGGGCGGAGGCUGAUGCUAAGGCAGCUGAUCUCACCCUUCCCUUUAAAGAAGAAGAGCAACGACUGCAAAUAGAACAGGCCCGUAGACAAAGCGAAAUGCAAAUAGAACAGGCCCGUAGACAAAGCGAAAUGCAAAUAGAACAGGCUCGUAUAGAGAUGCUUAGAAUAAAGAUGGAUGCCGCAGCCAAAAGGGUAAGGGCUGAGACUUUGGCCAAGGCCCUAAUUGAGCCACUCACAGAAGAAAAUGUAAGCCAGUUACCAAUACAGGACCCUUCUGCCAAAGUGUUUGCGCACCUUGGCAGCAUGUACAGCCAGUUUUCGGAUGAGGAACAGGGAGACUUCUCUCCUUACCCAGAGCAGGGCCCCAAAGUCACUUUUGAGUUUCCUGCAGAGCAGAGCGUCAUAGCGGGGAGCUCACCCUUGCUCGAGCUACCUGUGCCUCCUGCUAAAACCCUAGGUCAGUCAAUCAGGGCCUCAAGGCCGAGCGCUAGUUGGCCCCUACAGACAGCUGCACAGGGAACCAUCGAUUCGUCAGUGGUCGAUGUCAUCCCUCCAAGAGGCCAAAGGUUGACGCAAGGUACACGGUGGGAGUCCACUCCACAACAGCAAACUCCUCAAUUGUUCCCUUCGACGCCAGAGUCCCAGCUUGUCUCCAUCAUCAGAAGCCCCAGAAGAGAUCUUAAGGACAAGGGUGUCGAAAAGUUUUCGGACAAGCCUGAGGAAUUUCUUCUCUGGAAGGCCACCUUCCAGAGAGCAAUCAGAGACUUAAAGUUAUUGCCUGAGGAAGAACUGACUCUUCUGGCUGCAUGGUUGGGCCCAGCCUCAUCCUCACAAGUUAAGAAGAUCUACGCAGCCCACGUAGCCGAUCCCGACAAAGCCCUGGAAAAGGCCUGGGCCAGGUUGCAGCAGAGGUAUGGGGCCAGCACAGAGAUUGAAGCAUCUCUUAUGGACAAGCUCCAAAGGUUCCCAGCUUUAAAACUCAAAGACUUCAAACUCUUGUGGGACCUCAGCGAUCUCCUUGCGGAAUUAGAGUCGGCCAAGGAGAAUCCAGAACUGCCCGGUUUGAAGUGCCUCGAUCAGCACCUGUCCCAGAGGCAGAUCUUGACCAAGCUGCCCUUCACUUUGCAAGAACGCUGGGGACAGGAGGUCUUCAACUACAAGGAGGCCCACUCCCAGGCAUACCCUCCAUUUUCUCAUUUGGUCCAGUUCAUCACCAGGGCGGCCAGAGAAAGGAAUGAUCCGCAGACGGGCCUCCCCACCUUAUACCAAGGGACCCAGCCAGAGAAGGCACCUAAAGUGGAGAAAAAACCAUCCAGAGAGGCCAAAAGACCGGUUAGUGUUAAGGCUGUUGAAACUCAGCACAGGGCCAACGAAUCCAAGUCAGAGGUGAAGGAGGUGCUCUGCCCCAUUCACCAAAAGCCUCACAGUUUGGCCAACUGCCGGGAAUUUGGCAAGAAGCCUUAUAAAGAAAGACAACAGAUUGUACAGAAGCUGGGCAUAUGUUUUAGGUGCUGUGGAGCAACUCCUCACUUUGCAUCCAACUGCAAAGAGGACGUCAAAUGCGCAAGGUGUAACAGCCUUAAGCAUUGCACCGCAAUGCACAACUCCAAUAUCAUCUCCCACCCCAAAGAGAACUCUUCACCAAAAGAAAAGUCAGCAGUCGAAGACACCGACAAGCCAGCCGUACCAGAGAUGCAGGUGGAGGUUUCAGCAGUCGCCUGCACAGAGCUGUGUUCUGACUCGCACCAGUACAGAGUUUGUCAUCCUAUCUGCCUAGCGGAUGUAUAUCCAUCCAAGAGCCCUUGGCUUAAAAAGAGACUCUAUGUGGCCCUAGAUUCACAGAGCGAUGCCUCCCUAGCUACUCCAGAGUUCUUCCGCAUGUUUGACCUUAAAACCAAGAUGGUCAAUUACACCAUGACUACAUGUGCAGGAAAAAAGAAGUUGCAGGGUCGCAUAGCAUCUGGCUUUGUUGUCUCCUCUUGCGACCAGAAGAGACAGUUCAAGUUGCCAGACCUGAUUGAGUGUUCCUCCAUCCCUCGGAACAAAAAACAAAUUGUAACUAGAGAAGUUGUGGAGGCUCAUCCACAUUUGCGACGGUUAAAGAAUGCCAUACCAGCCUUUCAGCCAGAUGUGGACAUUGCCCUUUUGCUUGGCUCGGACUGCCCGAGCUUGUUCUGUGUGAACGACCAAGUUAAAGGACCUCCAGGUGCACCUAUCGCACAACAAUUGCCAUUAGGCUGGACAGUCAUAGGCCCAGUGUGCAUAAACAAGAUGCACCCACCAUCGUCGUUGGACUCCAAUCAAGCACAGGUGCUUAAAGGUGGACGUCCUACACUUGUGCGCAGUUGCCUAAGUCAUAUCUCGGUCUACUGCCAAGCAAUAACUCCAGAGUAUUCCUCCAUCUUCAAAGUCUCUGAGAGAGACGAAGCCACAGCGCUCUCGAAAGAUGAGCAAAGGUUUUCGGACAUUAUGAAUGCUCAAGUCUCACGAAGUGCAGAGGUGAAAGCCUGCAAAUCAACCACAGAAAUCAAGAUGGGCCAAAGAUCUUGCCUGGAACCACACCGUUUUGAAUGUUUUUCGGAGUGGCACAGUCUUCUUAGAGCAGUAGCUAGGCUUAUACAUCGCUUAGUCUGCAAAGAUAGUCAGCCUUUGCAAGUUCAGGACAUGCUGAAGGCUAAGGGAGUAAUACUCAGGUCAGUUCAGAGGCAUGAGUUUAGUCAAGAAACAGCCAGGUUAGAACAAGGGCUUGACACCCCCAGCCGGAGUUUCUUGCGUGAGUUAAACCCAUUUCUAGACAAGGAGGGCAUUUUAAGAGUGGGAGGGAGGUUAGCUAAGGCUAAACUCAAAGUGUGUAUAAAGAACCCCAUCAUUGUACCCCCCAAUAGCCAUAUUGCUUUGUUGUUGGUUCGUCACUACCAUGAGAAGAUCCAUCAUCAGGGUAGAACUCUAACUGAGGCAGCCCUUAGAAAUGAAGGUCUGUGGGUAGUUAAUGCCAAAAGGUUGGUCAACAGUUGUAUUUUCAAAUGUGUCAAAUGUCGGCGACUCAGACGAAACUGUCAAAGUCAGUUGAUGGCAGAACUACCUCAGGAUAGGACUUUGACAGACCCACCCUUUUCCCAUGUGGGAAUCGAUGUGUUUGGUCCUUGGGAGGUUGUCACUAGGAAAACCAGGGGUGGUGUUGUAAAUAACAAAAGAUGGGCGGGUUUGUUUACUUGUUUGUCAAAACGAACUGUCUAUAUAGAGGUUGCAGAGGGAAUGGACACUUCAUCAUUCAUAAACGCAUUGAAAAGGUUCAUAGCCCUCAGAGGGCCAAUUAAGUCAAUUUGGUCGGACUGUGGCACCAAUUUUGCAUGUGCAGACCUUAGCCAACCACUUCUGGAAGAGGUGGAAGGCCGAAUACUUAAGCCAGCUUCCAACCAGAAGACUCUGGCAAACCCCAAAGGACAAUGCCAAGGUGGGAAACCUUGUGUUGCCAAAGGACAAAGACUUGCCCCGCUAUGCCUGGCCUAUGGGCAUUAUACUAAAGACCUUUCCUUGCCCUGA